rnacentral:rRNA from 1 species
UACGUAGGGUGCGAGCGUUGUCCGGAAUUAUUGGGCGUAAAGAGCUUGUAGGCGGUUUGUCGCGUCUGCCGUGAAAAUCCGGGGCUCAACCCCGGACUUGCGGUGGGUACGGGCAGACUAGAGUGCGGUAGGGGAGACUGGAAUUCCUGGUGUAGCGGUGAAAUGCGCAGAUAUCAGGAGGAACACCGAUGGCGAAGGCAGGUCUCUGGGCCACUACUGACGCUGAGAAGCGAAAGCGUGGGGAGCGAACAGG